GAUGAAGAACGUAGCAAAAUGCGAUAAGUAAUGUGAAUUGCAGAAUUCAGUGAAUCAUCGAAUCUUUGAACGCAUCUUGCGCUCCUUGGUAUUCUGAGGAGCAUGCCUGUUUGAGUGUCAUUAAAUUCUCAACUACACUGACUUUGAAUUGGUGUGGCUUGGAUUUGGGGGGAAAAUUGUUGUGGGCUUUUUGUAUAGUCUGCUCCCCUGAAAUUGAUUAGCGGUACCUUUGUGGAACUGUCUACAGGUGUGAUAAUUAUCUACAUCUUAGACAUCUGCUGGAAUGCUGCUUUCUAAACCUUACUUGUAUUGACAAUCUUGACCUCAAAUCAGGUAGGACUACCCGCUGAACUUAAGCAUAUCAAUAAGCGGAGGA
rnacentral:misc_RNA from 1 species